rnacentral:rRNA from 1 species
AGUGAACGCUGGCGGUAGGCCUAACACAUGCAAGUCGAACGGCAGCACAGUAAGAGCUUGCUCUUACGGGUGGCGAGUGGCGGACGGGUGAGGAAUACAUCGGAAUCUACUUUUUCGUGGGGGAUAACGUAGGGAAACUUACGCUAAUACCGCAUACGACCUACGGGUGAAAGCAGGGGAUCUUCGGACCUUGCGCGAUUGAAUGAGCCGAUGUCGGAUUAGCUAGUUGGCGGGGUAAAGGCCCACCAAGGCGACGAUCCGUAGCUGGUCUGAGAGGAUGAUCAGCCACACUGGAACUGAGACACGGUCCAGACUCCUACGGGAGGCAGCAGUGGGGAAUAUUGGACAAUGGGCGCAAGCCUGAUCCAGCCAUACCGGGUGGGUGAAGAAGGCCUUCGGGUGGUAAAGCCCUUUUGUUGGGAAAGAAAAGCAGCAGGUUAAUACCCCGCUGUUCUGACGGUACCCAAAGAAUAAGCACCGGCGAACUUCGU